GUACUUACAAUGCAUUGAUUUGUAAACGAGAUGCAGGUCAAGAAAAUUUAGAAUCAUCAGAAAAAGAAGUAGAUUUGAAUGGGUUAACAGAAGACAAAUCAGAUUUAAAUGAACAGUGUAACAAUGUAACAGAGAGAACAUUGUCAGAAAAAGUCUGUGAAUUAGAGGAUAGAGAUGAACUAAGAAAUGAUUUUAGUUGCCAGUUUACAAAUGAAGUAAAGCAAGUGUGUGUUAAUACAAGAAAAGUAAAGGCACAGAAUCUAAUCCCAGAACUAACAGAUACUGAAAAUGUAUCCUCACUGAGUGAUUUGCAGAAAUGUAAAUUUCAAGACAGAACUGCAAAACUUAAUUUGAAAAUCCAUGAACAAUUAAUGAAAAUUGUGAAAUGUAUUCCAGUUUAUGACACGUCAGUGGAUGCAUUUACUAAUGCUGAAAUGUUUGAGUCAAAUGUGGACAAAUACAGCCUAAAUGAC
rnacentral:lncRNA from 1 species